rnacentral:rRNA from 1 species
UACAGAGGUCUCAAGCGUUGUUCGGAUUCAUUGGGCGUAAAGGGUGUGUAGGUGGCGCGCUAAGUCGGGUGUGAAAUUUCGGAGCUUAACUCCGAAACUGCAUUCGAUACUGGCGUGCUUGAGGACUGGAGAGGAGACUGGAAUUCCUGGUGUAGCGGUGAAAUGCGCAGAUAUCAGGAGGAACACCGGUGGCGAAGGCGGGUCUCUGGGCAGUAACUGACGCUGAGGAGCGAAAGCGUGGGGAGCGAACAGG